rnacentral:lncRNA from 1 species
AUGCAAACUUGGCCUGGGGGGGCAAGAAUGAGUGAAGCAGUAGGCAAACUGAAGGCGGCCUCUGCUCCGUGUUGCUGCGGCCCUUGGGUGCUCUUACCUCACCCCCUUGCUAGAACCUCCCUGCUCAGCUGGCACGUGGAAGCGGGAGCCCAGAUCCAGCAGGCGAGACCUUGUGACUUCAGAGGCAGCUCAAAAGACCAAACACUGAGGGCAGUUGGAAAUUUUGUUGCUUACUGUGGUACAGCAAGCCUUCCCCUUAGUUCACAAGUGAGUCUUCUGAGAACUGCUCACAAAGAAGUGAACACUGACGCAAGACAGACGGAAAGAAGCAGCGCGCCCCUGGGAAAGGAGGACUUUGAGUAUAACAGUCUGACUUUAUCAUCACCUGUAGCACAAGCAGCAAAGCAUGCUGGACAUCUGGCAAGGUUUCUCAUUUGCAACCAUGGCUUGAGCAACUUAAGAGGCAGGCUGUAAUCCACUCACCAUAUGCACCUUCGGAAGGACCAUGUUUCCUGCAUUAUCUUUCCACUUGGGUUUAUCCUGUUUCUCAAACGCUCCCAAUUUACAUUAUUGCAUUGCCCUUUCCUGGUCCCUGUAAACACUUUUAGAAGGCAGAGUCAUCAUGAGUAUUUUUUAAAACUUAAAGCAAAAAAUUCUGAUUCUUGUCUGACAGCUUCUCUUUCUU